GACGAACGCUGGCGGCGUGCCUAACACAUGCAAGUCGAGCGAGUGGAUCUCCUUCGGGAGAGAAGCUAGCGGCGGACGGGUGAGUAACACGUGGGCAACCUGCCUCAUAGAGGGGAAUAGCCUCCCGAAAGGGAGAUUAAUACCGCAUAAGAUUGUAGCUUCGCAUGAAGUAGCAAUUAAAGGAGCAAUCCGCUAUGAGAUGGGCCCGCGGCGCAUUAGCUAGUUGGUGAGGUAACGGCUCACCAAGGCGACGAGGCGUAGCCGACCUGAGAGGGUGAUCGGACACAUUGGGAGUGAGACACGGCCCAGACUCCUACGGGAGGCAGCAGUGGGGAAUAUUGCAAAAGGGGGGGAACACUGAUGCAGCAACGCCGCGUGAGUGAUGACGGCCUUCGGGUUGUAAAGCUCUGUCUUCAGGGACGAUAAUGACGGUACCUGAGGAGGAAGCCACGGCUAACUACGUGCCAGCAGCCGCCGUAACAC
rnacentral:rRNA from 1 species